UUAAGCGACUAAGCGUACACGGUGGAUGCCCUGGCAGUCAGAGGCGAUGAAGGACGUGCUAAUCUGCGAAAAGCGUCGGUAAGGUGAUAUGAACCGUUAUAACCGGCGAUGUCCGAAUGGGGAAACCCAGUGCAAUUCGUUGCACUAUCGUUAACUGAAUACAUAGGUUAACGAGGCGAACCGGGGGAACUGAAACAUCUAAGUACCCCGAGGAAAAGAAAUCAACCGAGAUUCCCCCAGUAGCGGCGAGCGAACGGGGAGCAGCCCGGAGUCUGAAUCAGCUUGUGUGUUAGUGGAAGCGUCUGGAAAGUCGCAGGGUACAGGGUGAUACUCCCGUACACUAAAACACACAGGCUGUGAACUCGAAGAGUAGGGCGGGACACGUGGUAUCCUGUCUGAAUAUGGGGGGACCAUCCUCCAAGGCUAAAUACUCCUGACUGACCGAUAGUGAACCAGUACCGUGAGGGAAAGGCGAAAAGAACCCCGGCGAGGGGAGUGAAAAAGAACCUGAAACCGUGUACGUACAAGCAGUAGGAGCCCACUAGUUGGGUGACUGCGUACCUUUUGUAUAAUGGGUCAGCGACUUAUAUUCUGUAGCAAGGUUAACCGUAUAGGGGAGCCGCAGGGAAACCGAGUCUUAACUGGGCGUUAAGUUGCAGGGUAUAGACCCGAAACCCGGUGAUCUAGCCAUGGGCAGGUUGAAGGUUGGGUAACACUAACUGGAGGACCGAACCGACUAAUGUUGAAAAAUUAGCGGAUGACUUGUGGCUGGGGGUGAAAGGCCAAUCAAACCGGGAGAUAGCUGGUUCUCCCCGAAAGCUAUUUAGGUAGCGCCUCGUGAAUUCAUCUUCGGGGGUAGAGCACUGUUUCGGCUAGGGGGUCAUCCCGACUUACCAACCCGAUGCAAACUACGAAUACCGAAGAAUGUUAUCACGGGAGACACACGGCGGGUGCUAACGUCCGUCGUGAAGAGGGAAACAACCCAGACCGCCAGCUAAGGUCCCAAAGUCAUGGUUAAGUGGGAAACGAUGUGGGAAGGCCCAGACAGCCAGGAUGUUGGCUUAGAAGCAGCCAUCAUUUAAAGAAAGCGUAAUAGCUCACUGGUCGAGUCGGCCUGCGCGGAAGAUGUAACGGGGCUAAACCAUGCACCGAAGCUGCGGCAGCGACGCUUAUGCGUUGUUGGGUAGGGGAGCGUUCUGUAAGCCGUUGAAGGUGGCCUGUGAGGGUUGCUGGAGGUAUCAGAAGUGCGAAUGCUGACAUAAGUAACGAUAAUGCGGGUGAAAAACCCGCACGCCGGAAGACCAAGGGUUCCUGUCCAACGUUAAUCGGGGCAGGGUGAGUCGACCCCUAAGGCGAGGCCGAAAGGCGUAGUCGAUGGGAAACAGGUUAAUAUUCCUGUACUUGGUGUUACUGCGAAGGGGGGACGGAGAAGGCUAUGUUGGCCGGGCGACGGUUGUCCCGGUUUAAGCAUGUAGGCGGAUGUUCCAGGUAAAUCCGGAACGUCACUAACGCUGAGGUGUGAUGACGAGGCACUACGGUGCUGAAGUGACAAAUGCCCUGCUUCCAGGAAAAGCCUCUAAGCAUCAGGUAACAUCAAAUCGUACCCCAAACCGACACAGGUGGUCAGGUAGAGAAUACCAAGGCGCUUGAGAGAACUCGGGUGAAGGAACUAGGCAAAAUGGUGCCGUAACUUCGGGAGAAGGCACGCUGAUGGUAAGUGAAGUGACUUGCUCAUGGAGCUGAAAUCAGUCGAAGAUACCAGCUGGCUGCAACUGUUUAUUAAAAACACAGCACUGUGCAAACACGAAAGUGGACGUAUACGGUGUGACGCCUGCCCGGUGCCGGAAGGUUAAUUGAUGGGGUUAUCCUCGCGGAGAAGCUCUUGAUCGAAGCCCCGGUAAACGGCGGCCGUAACUAUAACGGUCCUAAGGUAGCGAAAUUCCUUGUCGGGUAAGUUCCGACCUGCACGAAUGGCGUAAUGAUGGCCAGGCUGUCUCCACCCGAGACUCAGUGAAAUUGAACUCGCUGUGAAGAUGCAGUGUACCCGCGGCAAGACGGAAAGACCCCGUGAACCUUUACUAUAGCUUGACACUGAACACUGGUCCUUGAUGUGUAGGAUAGGUGGGAGGCUUUGAAGUGUGGACGCCAGUCUGCAUGGAGCCAUCCUUGAAAUACCACCCUUUAAUGGCUGGUGUUCUAACGUGGGCCCCUAAUCGGGGUUGCGGACAGUGUCUGGUGGGUAGUUUGACUGGGGCGGUCUCCUCCUAAAGAGUAACGGAGGAGCACGAAGGUCAGCUAAUCCUGGUCGGACAUCAGGAGGUUAGUGCAAUGGCAUAAGCUGGCUUGACUGCGAGCGUGACGGCGCGAGCAGGUGCGAAAGCAGGUCAUAGUGAUCCGGUGGUUCUGAAUGGAAGGGCCAUCGCUCAACGGAUAAAAGGUACUCCGGGGAUAACAGGCUGAUACCGCCCAAGAGUUCAUAUCGACGGCGGUGUUUGGCACCUCGAUGUCGGCUCAUCACAUCCUGGGGCUGAAGUAGGUCCCAAGGGUAUGGCUGUUCGCCAUUUAAAGUGGUACGCGAGCUGGGUUUAGAACGUCGUGAGACAGUUCGGUCCCUAUCUGCCGUGGGCGCUGGAGAAUUGAGGGGGGCUGCUCCUAGUACGAGAGGACCGGAGUGGACGCAUCACUGGUGUUCGGGUUGUCAUGCCAAUGGCAUUGCCCGGUAGCUAAAUGCGGAAGAGAUAAGUGCUGAAAGCAUCUAAGCACGAAACUUGCCCCGAGAUGAGUUCUCCCUGACUCCUUGAGAGUCCUGAAGGAACGUUGAAGACGACGACGUUGAUAGGCCGGGUGUGUAAGCGCAGCGAUGCGUUGAGCUAACCGGUACUAAUGAACCGUGAGGCUUAACCUU
rnacentral:rRNA from 1 species